UUCUCUUCUCAACUCUACAUAAUCGAGGCAGGAAAGGGGGAAAGCCCUAAUUCUCCGAUUUGCAAUCGAGAGCGGAUGAGGUUGAUAAUUCUCCUACCUGAAGCCCUUCUCCCUCUCUCUACCUCCUCUCUGUGCCGCCUUUGUCUCCGGCAAGCAGCCGCUAGCCGCCACCUUCUCCAGCCUGGCGUCGCCCCCAUCCCCAUCACCUCUCUUUCGCUUCCACCACCACGGUAUACUCUCUCUCUCUCCAUUUUCUAUAUGUAUUUCUAUCUUUGCGUUAUUUUUUGAUUUGGGCAGAGCAACCUCCGUCGUCGGCUCAGCGCC
rnacentral:lncRNA from 1 species